AGUAAAUAGAUACCCCGGUAGUCCACGCCGUAAACGAUGAAUACUAGGUGUAGGAGGUAUCGACUCCUUCUGUGCCGCAGUUAAACAACAAUAAGUAUUCCGCCUGGGGAGUACGGUCGCAAGAUUAAAACUACAAAGGAAUUGACGGGGGUCCCGGCACAAGCAGCGGAGCAUGUGGUUUAAAAUUUCGAAGCAACGCGAAGAACCUUACCUAGACUUGACAUCUUCUGCAUUAAUCGUAAUGGAUGAAAUCCCUUCGGGGUACAGAAUGACAGGUGGUGCAUGGUUGUCGUCAGCUCGUGUCGUGAGAUGUUGGGUUUAACGUCCCGCAACGAGCGCGACCCCUAUUAUUAGUUGCUAACAUUAAGUUGAGCACUCUAGUGAGACUGCCCGGGGUUUAACCC
rnacentral:rRNA from 1 species